GACAGAGGGUGCAAACGUUGUUCGGAAUUACUGGGCGUAAAGCGUGUGUAGGCGGUUCUCUAAGUUUGGUGUGAAAUCUCCCGGCUCAACCGGGAGGGUGCGCCGAAAACUGGAGGGCUAGAGUGCGGGAAGGGAGAGUAGAAUUCCUGGUGUAGCGGUGAAAUGCGUAGAUAUCAGGAGGAAUACCGGUGGUGUAGACGGCUCUCUGGACCGCGACUGACGCUGAGACACGAAAGCGUGGGUAGCAAACAGG
rnacentral:rRNA from 1 species